GGACUACUGGGGUAUCUAAUCCUGUUUGCUCCCCUAGCUUUCGUGCCUCAGUGUCAGUUAUUGUCCAGGGACUCGCCUUCGCCACUGGUGUUCCUCUCGAUAUCUACGCAUUUCACUGCUACACCGAGAAUUCCAGUCCCCCUUCCAAUCCUCUAGCAGGAUAGUAUUCAAUGCAGUUUCCGAGUUAAGCUCGGAGAUUUCACAUCAAACUUACCCUGCCACCUACGCACCCUUUACGCCCAGUGAAUCCGAACAACGCUUGGGACCUCUGUAUUACCGCGGCUGCUGGCAC
rnacentral:rRNA from 1 species